CUUGUUUUUACACUGUGUCUCUUCAGUAUGUAAAGUUGUACAUUAAUUUCAAAAGUGGGAUCAACUUGGACGGUCAUCUGAUCUGUUUCUUUUUUUAUCCUUUAGAAACAUGCUUUGUAUUACAGAGUUUAUUUAUUAAAAGUAAAUAAGGCUUAAAUACAUAUUGACAAAUAUGUCAUAUAAUUCAGUGUUGUUUAUUAACCAAAGACUUGAUUGACAAGCAGAUCUUGCAAAUUAAUAUGCAUGUUCUUUAAUGAAAGAACUCAGUAUAUAAAAAUUCAUUCAUAAAGCAACUAAAUGAAUCUGGUAUUUAUAUGUCAAAUUUCACUUCAUUUUAUAUUUUGAAUUACUAGUGUGCAUAAUUGUUUGACACGGAGAAAUACACAGUUCAACUUAGAAAUACACAGUUCACACACUAAAGAUGUAAAAUCAAUUAUGUAAACUUACCCAAUUUGGACAGAAAACUUUAAGCAAAACAUUUUAAUAAAAUAUUCUGUUCAAUUUAUGGUUAAGAAUACAGAAAUGCCAACAGUCUUGGACAUAACAAGGAACCUGUGAAAUAGUUGUUCUAGCAAUGGUAAUUUCUACUUUUCCUUCCUUGCUACUACUGGAAAUUUUCUGGUUCUUCUGGUACCUGUGACUUGUUCUGUCUUUGCCAUAGAGACUCUUUUGAGCAGUGGAAACAAAUACGGGUUAUAGUCUAACUUAAAUAUCUGUAUGACCUUGAAGACUGAACAUUCUAAAUCUAGCUAAAAAAUGGAAAUAAGAUAUCUUAUAGUGAUUUUGAUGUUUUAAUGCAGUGAGAUGGCAGUUUGUCAUUUAUGAAGAACUAAAUGAAGUUUAUAGUACUCCGUGAAUAUGUUGCAUGCCGGUGUAUCCAUGCAUACCUAGUGUAUACACCUUUUCCUCUCUCUGCUAGGAAAUUCACAUAGCUGCCUUUUGAUUAUCAGUCCUUGGCCAUUAACAAGAAAUGCAAAGCUUAUUUAUGAUCCACAAUUCUCAGAUACUCUUCCUACUCCUAUCUAUAUCGUAAAAAUCACUAGUGUUUCUUCAAAAGUUCCUAAUUGUGUCCGAAAAAAAGAAUCACAUUUGUCUCUUAUGUGCUGAAUAAGUCACUUCCAGGAACUGAGAAUAUAAUCAGAAAAGUAAGAUUUUUUUGCUCAGUUGGAACUUUUUAAAAA